rnacentral:rRNA from 1 species
GAUGAACGCUGACAGAAUGCUUAACACAUGCAAGUCAACUUGAACUUCGGUUUGGGUGGCGGACGGGCGAGUAACGCGUAAAGAACUUGCCUCACAGAUAGGGACAACAUUUGGAAACGAAUGCUAAUACCUGAUAUUAUGAUUUUAGGGCAUCCUAGGAUUAUGAAAGCUAUAUGCGCUGUGAGAGAGCUUUGCGUCCCAUUAGCUAGUUGGAGAGGUAACGGCUCACCAAGGCGAUGAUGGGUAGCCGGCCUGAGAGGGUGAUCGGCCACAAGGGGACUGAGACACGGCCCUUACUCCUACGGGAGGCAGCAGUGGGGAAUAUUGGACAAUGGACCAAGAGUCUGAUCCAGCAAUUCUGUGUGCACGAUGAAGUUUUUCGGAAUGUAAAGUGCUUUCAGUUGGGAAGAAAAAAAUGACGGUACCAACAGAAGAAGUGACGGCUAAAUACGUG